GAUCCUCCCGCCUCAGCUUCCUGAGCAGCUGGGACCACAGCAGGAACUUUCUGUGAGCUGAGGUGCGUGAUCCUGAUAUUGAUCCCAGACAAUUGCUACGUCUGGUAAUACAUAUGACAGGUGCUGGACAGAGCUGAACUGGAACAAGGGUCUGCAGCCAUUCACAGAGGGCAUGUCAAUCUGUGUUCACUCAGGCAGGAGGCAGGAACAUGCAGGAUGGGAAUGGGAAAGUAAACAGGAGUGGCCAUGGACUCCUGGCCUCUUCUCUCCAUGAGGUUUUCUCACCGAGAGCCUGCUCCAGGGAAGGUGGUUGGCCAAGGCCUGGGGAGCAGCUUUGUGAGGCCUAGGAAGACCCCAGAAGAGGACUUUGCUGAGAAGAGAGCAGACAAGAAGUCAGGAGUGGGGUGAGAGCAGCUUCUCCCUCUCCUUCGCACACUUGUACAUAGGCAUUCUCCCUCUAUUUCCAGCUCCUGCACCCAAGCUAUAAAAACAAGUAUGGCCUACUGUAAGGCAUUCCACAAUAAAGACCUCAUUCCUUCUGAAAACUUUUCACACUAUAAGAAGCUUCUUCUGAAAGGCAAGCGCAGUCACUAGCAACUAACACUGUAGCCACUGCUAUUCAUCUUUCUAGGUAUUAAAUAACAUCUAUUUGAGGGCAAGAGCGGAACACAAGAGACAUAUCCAGAAGGAGAAAAGAGAGAGAAAAUGAAAAGGGAAUUAAUUGGUGAAGUGGGAUGUACCA